GACGGAGGAUGCAAGUGUUAUCCGGAAUCACUGGGCGUAAAGCGUCUGUAGGUGGUUUAUAAGUCAACUGUUAAAUCUUGAGGCUCAACCUCAAAAUCGCAGUCGAAACUAUUAGGCUAGAGUAUAGUAGGGGUAAAGGGAAUUUCCAGUGGAGCGGUGAAAUGCGUAGAGAUUGGAAAGAACACCGAUGGCGAAGGCACUUUACUGGGCUAUUACUAACACUCAGAGACGAAAGCUAGGGUAGCAAAUGGG
rnacentral:rRNA from 1 species